GUGGGGAAUCUUGCGCAAUGGGCGAAAGCCUGACGCAGCCAUGCCGCGUGAAUGAUGAAGGUCUUAGGAUUGUAAAAUUCUUUCACCGGGGACGAUAAUGACGGUACCCGGAGAAGAAGCUCCGGCUAACUUCGUGCCAGCAGCCGCGGUAAUACGAAGGGGGCUAGCGUUGCUCGGAAUUACUGGGCGGAAAGGGCGCGUAGGCGGACAGCUUAGUCAGAGGUGAAAGCCCAGGGCUCAACCUUGGAAUUGCCUUUGAUACUGGCUGUCUUGAGUUUGGGAGAGGUGAGUGGAACUCCGAGUGUAGAGGUGAAAUUCGUAGAUAUUCGGAAGAACACCAGUGGCGAAGGCGACUCACUGGCCCAAUACUGACGCUGAGGCGCGAAAGCGUGGGGAGCAAACAGGAUUAGAUACCCGAGUAGUCC
rnacentral:rRNA from 1 species